rnacentral:misc_RNA from 1 species
GAUGAAGAACGUAGCGAAAUGCGAUAAGUAAUGUGAAUUGCAGAAUUCAGUGAAUCAUCGAAUCUUUGAACGCACAUUGCGCCCGCCAGUAUUCUGGCGGGCAUGCCUGUCUGAGCGUCAUUUCAACCCUCAUGCCCCUAGGGCGUGGUGUUGGGGAUCGGCCAAAGCCCGCGAGGGACGGCCGGCCCCUAAAUCUAGAGGCGGACCCGUCGUGGCCUCCUCUGCGAAGUAGUGAUAUUCCGCAUCGGAGAGCGAUGAGCCCCUGCCGUUAAACCCCCAACUUUCCAAGGUUGACCUCAGAUCAGGUAGGAAUACCCGCUGAACUUAAGCAUAUCAAUAAGCGGAGGA